AGCAUUAGGGGAGCCCACGGCUACAAAAACAAGUGAGUGAGAAGAGGUGGGAGGAAGAGAAACUACGCCACCUCCCCUGCAGCCGAGUGCACGCAGCAGCCUGGCGUGACAAGUGGGCGACGCCGGGGGGCAGGGAGCCGGGGUCCUUGGCCCUGGCCGGGGACCCCACCGCCCACCGCGCGGAGGACAACUUUUAGCCGGCAGCCCAGACCAGCGCGGCACCUGUCUCCGGAGUCUCCACCGCUCCUCCCGAUUCAUCCCAGGGAAAUUCUCAAGAAUACGCUCUACAAAUCUACGUGCGCAUCAUUUUCACCUCGCGUCGCGCCCGGGAGGAAGGAACGAGGCAAGGAGCUAAAGCAGCGUGCGUUCAGCCCUGGGGAGGAAAAUGGAAGAAACGGAGAUACUUUUAGUGAAGCAGAAUAAACCACUGAACAGGAAAAAUGAGGAAGCUGUGAGUACCAGUGGAAGGAACGAGCCAGGAAGAGGGACUGGAACCAUCUCAGAAGCCAUGCCCCUCAGGCUGGAACUUGCCCUGUCUCCUCGCAGAUGAGACAGACGUUUAAGUACGAGAAAGCUAAUGGCGCAGAUUCUGCUGACUGUGUGGCUCUCGUCUUAAUGCGUUUUCCAACCUUGAACCUGAGAAUGCCAGA
rnacentral:lncRNA from 1 species